GUGCUCACUUCAGCAGCACAUAUACUAAAAUUGGAACACUAUAGAGAUUAGCAUGGCCCCUGCACAUGGUUUAGCAGGAGGGGCUAGCCUCUUGG
ensembl:snRNA U6 U6 spliceosomal RNA